GCGGAGAUCGCCAAGCGGCGCUAUGGCAUCGCCUGCGAAGACGACGAUCUGCGCCGGAUCGAGUUCUACGAGGAGGCCUACGGCCUCUCCGGCCCGCA
rnacentral:tRNA from 1 species